GACAACAAAGAAUGACAUGGAAAGUUGACGGGCAAAAUAAUAGACCCCACUUCAAUUAGUGAAAAUUCAAAAAUUUGGAGAUUUCAAAAUUUGAAUCCAAAACCAGAAGUACUUCUCGCGUCCCCCUUCUCUCACUCUUCUCUCAUCCCCGCCCAAACCAUCUCUCCAAAUCCGACGCACAACCAACACCGACGGACGACCACCGCCGACGCACAACCACCACCGACGGUUAUUCUCAGUUUCAGCCUCUCGCCUUGCUGGUUGUAGUGAACCAGUGACUGGAUUCCCUCGUGUCGUGCAUACAAAAUAUGGCUAUUUGGACGAUGUACACAGAGCUUGGGUGCAGCACAACGGACACACAACAACAGUUGAGCAAGUUCAGUUCCCUACAUUAUUGGAAUUUGUUGAAGGAAGUUCCAGUGAAACAGAAAAAUGAAGUUGGAUGUGGACUAUCCACAUGUUAAAUUAAUGUAAUUGACGUCCUGAUUCUAUUUUUUUGGAAUAAUGUAUGGCUUAAUGACAAUGCUAAACUUUGUACCUUCUUUUUAAAUGACAAUUGGGAUGAGAACAGCCCGGCAUGGGCUUAUGGAUGAAUUUUGGAUGUUCAUAAGUAGGAUGAUAAAAGGCUCGACGUGGGUUUAUUUGUGAGUUUCGAUUGUGAAUGGUAAUUUAGGAUGAGAAACGCCCGGCGUGGGCUUAUGGAUUUUAUGUGAA